GCAGGAGUAACACACAUCAAGGACAGCAGCAAAAUUGUCAAAGGAAAACAUAUAAAUUGGAUAGAUAAAUUAUAAGAAUAUAGGUGCAUCAAUUCUGCAGAAGUGAAGUCAAGUUUCAUUAAUGUCUAAACAGUUAUAAACUCACAAUGGGUCAACUAGCUGAACCAAGAAUAGAAUGAACAGUUAUAAACUCAGAUACUAGGAAACAUUAGGGAAUGUCAAUAUGUUCGAUGAAUCAUCUCAGCAGUACAACAAAGUUUUCUGAACCUUCAGUGGGAAUAUUUCUAGCAACCAAGGGAUGUAUGCAAUGACAGGAAUAGCAAAAACAAUGCACAAAAAAUGGCAUCUUCACAUUUGGUAGAGAA
rnacentral:lncRNA from 1 species